GGGGAUGUACCGGUUUCGACGGGGUUUUUGGAGCGUCCGCCGCAGGCAGAGGGUCCCGUUGGCCUCUUUAAAAAGCGGGAACUUAAAAUUAAACGCUAACGAUAAUUUAGCACUUCAGGCUGCCUGACGGCAGUCUCGUCGCCCUGCCGGUCGCCGAGCCGGGAGUCAGCGGCGUCACCAAUUCGGCCCUGUCCGUAUGGCGGUCAAAUCGGAGAACGGCGCGGUCAAAGCUUUGCGCCCGCGUUGUACUUAUGAAGCUACCGUGCGCCUGACCCCGGCUGUCGGGGCUCGCGCGGGGGAAAUCUAAAUGGCAGCCUAAGCCUGUAGAAGUUGACGAAGAUAAAAUUUCGGACAGGGGUCCGACUCCCCUCAUCUCCAUUU
rnacentral:tmRNA from 1 species